UACGGGGGGGGCAAGCGUUGUUCGGAAUUACUGGGCGUAAAGGGCUCGUAGGCGGCCAACUAAGUCCGACGUGAAAUCCCCAGGCUUAACCUGGGAACUGCGUCGGAUACUGGAUGGCUUGAAUUCGGGAGAGGGAUGCAGAAUUCCAGGUGUAGCGGUGAAAUGCGUAGAUAUCAGGAGGAACACCGGUGGCGAAGGCGGUUCUCUGGGCAUGACCUGACGCUGAGGAGCGAAAGUGUGGGGAGCGAACAGG
rnacentral:rRNA from 1 species